GACGAACGCUGGCGGCGUGCUUAACACAUGCAAGUCGAGCGGAGCGGCGAACGGGUGAGGAACGCGUGAGUAACUGCCCCCCUCCCUGGGAUAACAGUUGGAAACGGCUGCUAAUACCGGAUAGUGGGGGAUGACUCGCGUCCUAUCAGCUUGUUGGUGGGGUAGUGGCCUACCAAGGCGACGCAGGGUAGCCGGCCUGGGAGGGCGACCGGCCACAUUGGGCUGAGAUACGGCCCAAACUGCUACGGGGGGCAGCAGGGGGGAAUAUUGCACAAUGGUGGAAACCCUGAUGCAGCAACGCGCGUGCGUGAUGACGGCCUUCGGGUUGUAAACCGCUUUCAGCCAUGACGCGGUAGUGGCAGAAGAAGCACCGGCUAACUACGUGCCAGCAGCCGCGGUAAUAC
rnacentral:rRNA from 1 species